UACGUAGGCAGCAAGCGUUGUUCGGAGUUACUGGGCGUAAAGGGUGUGUAGGCGGUUUUUUAAGUUUGGUGUGAAAUCUCCCGGCUCAACUGGGAGGGUGCGCCGAAUACUGAAAGACUAGAGUGCGGGAGAGGAAAGUGGAAUUCCUGGUGUGAGACGGUGAAAUGCGUAGAUAUCAGGAGGAACACCGGUGGUGUAGACGGCUUUCUGGACCGUAACUGACGCUGGAGACACGAAAGCGUGGGUAGCAAACAGG
rnacentral:rRNA from 1 species